rnacentral:rRNA from 1 species
AGCGAACGCUGGCGGCAGGCUUAACACAUGCAAGUCGAGCGGGCACUUUCGGGUGUCAGCGGCGGACGGGUGAGUAACGCGUGGGAACGUGCCCUCUGGUUCGGAAUAACUCAGGGAAACUUGAGCUAAUACCGGAUACGCCCUUUUGGGGAAAGGCUUGCUGCCGGAGGAUCGGCCCGCGUCUGAUUAGCUAGUUGGUGAGGUAACGGCUCACCAAGGCGACGAUCAGUAGCUGGUCGGAGAGGAUGAUCAGCCACACUGGGACUGAGACACGGCCCAGACUCCUACGGGAGGCAGCAGUGGGGAAGAUUGGACAAUGGGCGCAAGCCUGAUCCAGCCAUGCCGCGUGAGUGAUGAAGGCCUUAGGGUUGUAAAGCUCUUUUAUCCGGGACGAUAAUGACGGUACCGGAGGAAUAAGCCCCGGCUAACUUCGU